rnacentral:rRNA from 1 species
AUUCCAGCUCCAAUAGCGUAUAUUAAAGUUGUUGCAGUUAAAAAGCUCGUAGUUGGAUUCCUGGUUAGAGCGGCCGGUCUGGUCCGAAUGGGCUAGUACUUUGAGCUGUCUUUGACCUUCCUUUGGGAGAAUCUGUGUUGUUAUUAAUUUAGCAGUGCAGGGGACCCCAAUCGUUUACUGUGAAAAAAUUAGAGUGUUUAAAGCAGGCAUUUGCUGUGAAUACAUUAGCAUGGAAUAAUAAGAUAGGACUUUGGUGCUAUUUUGUUGGUUUGCACACCAAGGUAAUGAUUAACAGGGACAGUUGGGGGUAUUCGUAUUUAAUUGUCAGAGGUGAAAUUCAUGGAUUUAUGAAAGACGAACUACUGCGGAAGCAUUUACCAAGGAUGUUUUCAUUA